rnacentral:ncRNA from 1 species
CCACCCAAUGCGCCACCGACACCGGCUUCGGUGUUGCCACCCGCCAUGACGGCACCACUGAACAGGCCAAAGGACAACAAAAGAAUCGAGGAGUACUUCUUCAUUGAGAAAGCCUCAUGUAAUUGACGAGGCGAAUGUGAAGUGCGACGUUGAAACUGGCAACCAAAAACCGACGAAUAACCCGUUGCACUAACAGUUUGUCAGGUUAUUGUUUUUGCACUGAAACUUUAUUCGAAAGCCCCGGUCUUAACGGGUUGCCUUACUUAAAAACCCCCUCUUUCACGAGGGGGUU